UCCAGGGAGUUGCUGCGCUUCAGCUGGAGUUCAUCAAGGUAUCGGCGAGAGCGUCGUCAUUUCUUUGGAGUCACCAGGGUCGUCGCUUCUGUGGGUCGUCUCGCCAGGGAAAGGAAGCAUUUUAUGGACGCCUGGCCAAGAUGCUUUGCUUUGGGCCGUCGCUCGUAAAUGUCCAUGGAAUUGGAUGCAGAAGAUUGGAUUAGAUAAGUCCAAAUUGUCCAGGAUUUUUCAAAUUUGUCCGGUGGGAUUUGUGAAGGAAAACAUUGACUUGGAUUUAUAAGGAGCAUCGUGGGAGGUUCGUAUAUGUCAGUAGGGAUAUUUCAGGGAUCGAUUUUAUGGUCACGAUAUUGACCUUUUGCCGGGUCGGCAGCGCCGCACCCAGGAUACAGGAGGACGAGGGGGCAUUCCAACAUGGAAACGGCAUUUAAACAUUAUAC